UGCCUGAGAGGCGAUGGUUUGCUUUGCUUUUGGUGUUGCCUCGCUGGAGACGGAUGGUUUCUUGCCAUCUCCUACGUGGUGUAGCCCAAAUAAAUCUUCUCGUUCUGGGCCUUACCGCGCCGUGCCCGGUGUGGUAGUGUGGUGUCAGAAGUUGUGAAUCGUUCCCGGUGCGCAAGGAGAGCACAGGGGAGCAGGAUGGAUUUUCUCCUUAGGAGACAGGUUUGGGUGUCUCCUAAUUGAAGACAGUUGAAAUACUUAUUGCAAGUAAAUUCUCAGUCAGCCUCUUGGAUGCCUCUGAUAACUUAAGAAGUCAUGGCAGAUAAUGAUGCAAUGCCAACCCUACCAAAAAAGUGCGGCCCAUACAUUUCAUCUGUAACCAGUCGUGGCAUGAAUUUGGUUAUUCGUGGUGUAGUGCUGUUUUUUAUUGGUGUAUUUCUUGCAUUAGUAUUAAACUUGCUUCAGAUCCAGAGAAACGUUACUCUCUUCCCCCCUGAUGUGAUCACAAGCAUCUUCUCCUCGGCUUGGUGGGUACCACCUUGCUGUGGCACAGCAUCAGCUGUGAUUGGGUUAUUGUACCCCUGCAUGGACAGACAUCUGGGAGAGCCACAUAAGUUCAAGAGAGAAUGGUCCAGUGUGAUGCGAUGUGUAGCAGUCUUUGUGGGAAUAAAUCAUGCCAGUGCUAAGGUGGAUUUUGCCAACAAUAUCCAGCUGUCUCUCACAUUGGCAGCCCUGUCCAUUGGGCUGUGGUGGACCUUUGACAGGUCACGAAGUGGCUUUGGUCUUGGAGUAGGAAUUGCUUUCCUGGCCACCUUGGUGUCACAGCUUCUGGUGUACAAUGGAGUUUAUCAAUACACAUCCCCAGACUUCCUCUAUGUCCGUUCCUGGUUGCCAUGUAUAUUUUUUGCUGGUGGAAUAACAAUGGGCAAUAUUGGCAGGCAGCUGGCAAUGUAUGAAUGCAAAGUGAUUGCAGAGAAGUCUCAUGAGGACUGAGAGGAAACAAUGUGCACCUUUUAAACAGGAAAAUGCCUGACAAGUGACUGUUGGAGGAGCAUAAGGAACACUUGACUAUGAAAUUGCCAAAAUGCAAUUUUUUUCCCUUGAGUGGUAUACUUUACUGCAAUCUGUGAUUGCUGCUUCUAUAGAAACCUUGAUGUCUGAUUUUGAUUACUGUGAAGUUACAAUAGUAUGCAAUAUAUUUGACAAUAUUGGUUCAAUUAUAGGAUUCUUUUUUCCAAAUCUAAACAGUUUACCAUAAAUUCCUGUCUGUCUGUAAUGUUGCAGUGCCAAACUGAACCUUUGCACUACGUUUCUGUAGCUGAAACUUCUUGAUUCACUUUAUCUUGAAAGUUUUGAGGAAUUUGUUCUUAACAGCUAGUGAAAGACAGAGUGGGUUCACGUUUAGCAAUGAAGAUCUCUUUCCAUGAUGACAGCCCGUAAUAUCUGUAUAAAAUUUAUGGAUUACAGGUGAACUUUGAUGCAAUAAGUAACUGAUUUAUGCCUAUUAACACAGUAUAUAAUUCUUCUGACUCACAUUACAGGUGAGGAAACUCAAUGCAGGUUUCAUGGGUUAUUGCCAUAGCAUUUCAUUUGUCUGUGGUGUGUGCCCAGUAUCACAGAAAUGGAAACUGAGUCUGGAAGCUAUUUGCUAUUUUUCCCCUGGGAUACCCAGCAUCUAUGUUUGUUUUUGAAUUUAUGUGAACCGUGGACAGAUUCUGAAACUACUUGUGUGCAAAACAGGAUACGGCCAGGUCAUUGUUGUACAAUCCUUUAAGCUGAUUUGUGUUGAUAGAAAAAACAACUUAGAGAGUUUCUAUUGCAAAAUAUAAUUCUGCUGAAGUAAAUUGGCCACUACCAUAUAGUGUCAUAAACCCCUCCAUUACCAAUGUUACUCUUGGUGGUCUUUGCCCACCCCCUGCUCUGUUGGCAGGGAUCAGCAGGGCUGUAUUUUAGGUACUGAUGGAGCCCUCGUUGCUGUUACCGUGUCCAGGCAACCAUAAAUGCAUUUCUUCUUGUAGCAGUGUUCUGAGGUAGAGAAAUGCUGUGACCCCUGUUUGUCAGGUGCCUGUGCACAGACAGCAAGCUGAAAUAGGCUGUGUGCUGAGCAGUUCCCUUCUUAAGAAGGAUUUUAGUGUGUGACCCAUUUUUGGGGGCAUACAUGGAAUUUUCUCUUGGCUUUGCAGCUCCCUUUUAAGACCAUGAGCUGGAAGAAGUGCAAGAAGGCAGAAAGCAGAUCUCAAGAGGACACUGCUAACCUGUGCCUGCAAGCCAUUUUUCCCUGGAACCAGGCCAUCAGUUCUGUCUCCUGAAGCUACUCUGAGCCAGAUUCUGCUUGGGGCACACGUGAGAUGCCAUGAGAAACCCUGCUCCAGCCACUGUGCUUUGUGGUACUGAGGCACAACACUCCUUUCAGCAGCUGUGCUGAGGAAAACUUCUUGGAGAGGUUUCUCCUUUUUUUCCACAUGGGAGUGUUUUCCCUGUACCAUCUCCAAGAAAGGUCUGCUCUGACUUUGGCUCUGCCUUUCCUCAAAUAUGCAAUACAUCACCUGCUCCACUGUGUUCUGUUCACAAAAUGGGCAAUUUUCUUUGCUUUUCUGGUGGAAAUAUCUACCUGCAUCUGAUGAACAUGGAUGAGAUUUUCAACUUUGGACACUUCAAUGCUGCAGAGCCAGUGCUUGAGCUCUCAGAGGCAGCAAGUUGUGACCUGUCCACAGGGAAAAUCCCUUCAACACAGGAUGCUCCAUCUAAAGGAGCGGGCAUGUGUAACUUGAGGGAACAAAAUCUCUCUGACACCUUCCAGUGGGGUCUCAAUCCUGAAGUGGGCUGGGAGCAAACAAUGAACUUUUGAGGGCUUAUAAACUUUAAAAAAAAAAUACAGGCAGUGCAUUGCAUUUUUUUGUGGUAAAUUUGCAGCCUUGGCUCUUUCAAGAAGUUCAGGUUUUUCCCUCAGACUACAUGCCAAAAAGCAAUGACUAUGGAAUUUAAACCACUUUUAUCUCAUUGAUGCAGUGUGUUAUUUUAUGUAUCUGAAUUAUUCCAAGAUAACAACAAGCCUAGGUUUUACUAUAGUUUGUCAUAAUAACAAAUGCAAUUUUGAACAAGUUUAUUUCUCUAAAAAAUACAUCUAAUUUAAAUGAAAACUAUAUUUACAAUCCAACUGGAACUAUAGUUCCAGAUGCUGUGGAAUCCAACUCAUUUCUAAAGCAAAGAACUCCUAGGGAUUAGUUUUUUUCAUCACUAAUAAAUUUUAGCUUAUUUUCAGUUUAAAUGUGUUUAGCCUGAGCUUGCAGCUACUAGAUCCUUCUGUACCUCAGCCUGUUGGCUUAAAGAGCCCUCUGCUGUCAGAAUUACUUCUCCUGAUAUUAUGUGGAGAUGAUAACAAAAUUAUUGCUGAAUUUUCAUUCUACUGAAUUGCAUAGGCUGAUCUUUGCACUAUGAAGCAGGUUUUUCCAAAUGCUGAAUCAUUCCCUUGGCUUUUUUUUUUUUUUGGAAUCAGUUUCAGGCUGCCCAUGUCUUUGCUGGUCUUGGCAGGCAGGACCCCUGGCUCCUCUCUGGGAAGGGACAGGAGGAGGGGGAUGGUAGUGGUGGGACAGCAACUCCAGCACUGCUGGAUUUCACUGGACAUAAAAAUGGAUGUCAGUCUUGCCAUUUCUUUAAGUGUAAUUUUUAUUUCCAUAGUUACCAUUUGGGCAUUUUGCUGAAAGUAGAGGCUGAAAAAUUUUCAGCUGAAGCAACUUCCUUGUAGCCUAAAAUGUCCCAAUCUCUCCUUGGUUAUGUGAGGCCAAAGCACUGCCCAGCAGGACUGUAGCUAAUGAAAAUUUAAUUUGAAAAUUAGUGGUGAAGGAAAAAAGGUGUUCUGAAGCAUCAGGAAUCUUUUCAGAUUAAAACUUCUGUUCUCCUUUUUAACAGAAGGAUGGAAAUUGGUGGAAUGUGAAUUCAUGGCAUAUGUUUCCUAUCAUAUAAUCACUGUGAGAAAUAUAAAAAAAGGGAAAGUCAUUUAUUGUGGGACCUUAGAAAACACUUCUGGAGCUCUUUUAAUAUUUCCUGCAGUAAUUACACAUCAUGCACAUAGUAUGAAAUCUGUCAAGUAAUCAGAAUAAAGCUUAGCUUUAAUUCCCAACUGGCUCAGGGGACUGCUAUGAAGCUUGGCCUUGGGAUUUGAGGUGCAACCUCCUCAGGGGUACGAGGGACCACCUGAAUCAAGAGGGGUCUCAACUCCAGUGGUCUGAAACCAGAGCCCAUAAGUACAGGAAAGGCAGAUUCCCCAGAAAUGUGCUCUGUGACCCACACGUGCCCUGUGGGUAAUGUGGGGUGUGCAGAUUAUUUGAGGUGAGUUUGAAAGAGUUCAGAGUAGUUCCAUGCUGUGUGUGACAUCCACCAGUCAGGGUUUCCAUUGUGCCUGUAGGAACCCUUGCCUUCCAAACCUGCUGGUUCAGCCUCUGGCACAGAGCCCUCCAUCACCACUACCCAGUGUCCACCUGACACAGGCACCUGAACUGUCCAGCUAAAUGUUAUAAUUCAUCUCACCUGGAUGGACUAAAUUGAACUGGAAUAGCACCAGAAAACUCAGAAAAUUAGAAAAUGCUGGGAGCCAGCUAAAAGCUCAAUAACUUCUAGAAGAAUUUCUUUCUAUAGUUUUUUGGUUUUUUUUUUAUUUUAACACCCGAGAAACUUUUGCAUUUAUGUUAGGGUUAGCCAAGGCAUAUCUGAACUGUAAAACUUUAAUAUUUUCAUGUCAAAAAUGAUUUUGCUGAAGUUAACUUUCCCCAUACUUUGACUUAUCAGUUUCAGUCGUGGUGGUGUGCAUUUCAGUUGAAGUUUUAUUACAUUAUGUUGGCAGCACAUUAUGUUUUUUACACAUGGAUUUGAUUGAGAAAUGAAACUGGAAUAAGAAUGAGGUAGCAGCAGCAUCUGCUGGGAGACGCAGCUAGUGCUGGUGUCAAUCAAUCUGAUUGAUUAAAUAUGGUGGCACACAUUUUAUUAAAACAAAAUGCUCUCCCUGAAGAAGACUAUUAUGCCAGUAUAAUACACAGCUUUCCUAAAGAACAUUACAAAAGAGGUGGUCUGUUUGUGACACACAAUGCUUGUAAAUAACUGGAAGGAACUGAAGAGUUCAGAUUACGUGGGGCUGCUCAUGGAAACAGCUAUUUUAUUGCUUUGGCAUGUGGUAGCUGGUAUUGUUGCAUUGGUGAGAUCAGCAGCGCUGAUGGAAGUUGAAUUAUUGUGUGGGACCACAAAGGGUUUUACGCACUCGCUGACGCUCUUGAACAGGUCUGAGGCUUUAAAGUGUGUGGUGGCUUGAGACCAGGCUGCACCACAGGGCUGGAGACAGAGGCACUGCCUGCCCACCCCACGCUCCAGCAUGCUGGAAUUCAUUUCCAGGCAUCCUCCUCUUUGCAAGGACGGGUGUUCACAGUGCCAGCCUGACAAGCAAACUCCUCUGGCAAUGGGCAGACACCAAAGGCACGAUUCCCCGCCCUCCCAGGUGCACACAUCCCCACCUUGCCUUCCUCUUGCAGCAGCAAACAGGACCUGCAGCCCCUGCACCCCAAAAUACAGCUGGUGGCAAAAGAAACAAUUUUGUGGUGCCUUCUCUCUGUCCCCAGAGGAAGGUCAAGAGGAACAAUGACUCAUAUUCCUUGAGAUGUGCUUGGAGGCUGUAGUGGUGGAAAAUUUAGGACACAAUAAAUCCUUACAGUGUUUCCUAUCCACCUAAAAUUAUGGCUUCUGCUGGUUAAUUUAAAGAAUCUAGUAGUUUUCCACUAGAUUCACUUGGGCUGAGGUUUCACCUACUUCCACCUAUAUGCUCCACAUUAAGAUGAAUUAUGAAAAUUAUUAACCAAUGUCAAUCAUUUACUCACUUUCCUCCAAAUGUAAGUAUUCAUAAUUUAACAUAGGUUUCUGCUUGCUACAUUCAUCCUCACUAAAUGUAUCCAAAUAAUAUUUGGUUUGGUAAACAAUAUAAAUAUAAACAUCUGCACAAGAGAAGAGUGCUACACCCUACUCUUCAUGUGUGAUGUCUCUGGCAUCAAAUAAGUGUGGGUUGUACAUGGCACUGCAGGAAUAGAAAUGCAUAUAACAGCACAGGGGAGAAGCAGAGAAGACAUCAGGUUUUGGUUCACUCCAUUUUCAUUGUUAUUGCUGGGUGGUGCCUCCUGUGUAUCAGUUCUUCUAGUUAGAGUGCAAUUCCUUGUCCUCAUGGUAACUCCUGUGGAUCUCCUCACCGAGUUUCAGAGCAAUUCCUCAUCCUGUUUUAUUCCUUUAGGAGGAAGCAGCCUGCUCUCUCUGCCCUGAUGUCCAGGUACCCUCAAACCCACAAGCUGCUUCCCAAGCACUGACUGCUCUUUGGCCAUCAAAUUCAGGGAAAUAUUUUAGUGGGUGCUAGAUUUGAAACCAAGCUCAGCAGAGAAUCUCAGCAUAUUUAAUGUGAUGACUUCAAAACAACCUGAAUUGGCUUAGACAACAUCUCUGUUGAAUUUUUAAUGGCAGAUUCAGAACUAUUUUUAAGAUCCUCCUGUUAUUUCUCCUGAGAGACCUUUUCUUACCAAUCUAAGUAGAAAAUAAUAAUGAGGGGGAAAAAACCCUUGCUAGGCAACCUCUUCAAUAUGCAGAUAGUUUCUGCAGUGACACUUUUGCUGAGGCUAAUCUUUCAGGAUUGAGAUAUUUUCAGAAACAUCCAUUUGUGGGUUUUGUUGGUUUUUUUUUUUCACUCAGAAAGACACAGCUUUGUAUACAAAUCUUUUCUUCACCCACAGCCACUUAUUUGGUGGUUUUGAGGCUUGCUAACAACUUUUUGCAUGAAAAGACAUUGCUGUUGUACUUUGUAGACCUUGGGAAUGUAGCUAAUGAUGAUAUUUGUAGUUUUGCCUCCAGCCUUCAUUUCAUCAUGGAGCUCAUUGGCUUUCUUAAAAGUUCAGUACCACCUGCAUUGUCUUAACUUACAAACUUAUCCCAGUGCAGAAUUUCUCUGAAGAGCAUCAGGGCUCUGAUCUUACCAUCUUACAGUGGGAAAUGGUGUGUUUUUGAAUAUCCAAAAGUGUCACUGAGGUCAUUCUGAGCACAUCAGUCUUUGGCAGGUGACUCUCCCAUUUUUUCUUCCAAGUUAGUUUCCUUUCAUCCCCAUUAAUCUUCUGUGCUCCCCACCUUUGCAGGAGCUUCUCCAUUUAGUUUCCUUGCUGCUUGGAUGCCCCUGGGCUGGGAGACUUUCUGGUUUGUGGUGCUUUUAUUGUCAUCCUGAUGGAGAAACCCAAAGGCAACAUAAUCUCUGGAUUUAUGGUUAAUGUGCAAAGACAGGACAGUGAUGUGGGCUUGGGGGAAAAGCCUCAGGUUUGCUGUACAAGCAGAGGAGAGGAUGGUCACUUCAGACUUCAGUAAGCAUCUGAAUUAAAGCAAAUGCAGUGACACCGCCCCUUUUGAUAUUCCCCGACAGUGCAAAAAUGAAGAUUGACAUAAGAAUUUGAUUUCAUGCUAAAAUGCCAGACUGCACAGCAGUUCAAGAGCACUGAGUAUCCUGUGCAGGUGUAACUUGCAGCAAGCCCCAGGAGCAGCCUGGGCAGCAGAAAUCACUUCAGCCAUAAUGGUUAAAUAGCUGAGAAACAUGCAUCAAUUUUUAAGUAGCAUAGAGUGAAAUGUAACACCUCCUAAAACAUUCAAGAGCAGACUAAACAUUGCUGAAGGAGUGAAAAUAACAUGAAACGUUAUCAAGCCUUUUCUUUAAAUCUUCAUGAGUCUGCCAGUUUUACUACAGAGGUUCAUAGUUACAAUUGUUAACUCAAAAUGCUUGUUAAUAACAACUGAAGUGCAUAAUAGGACUUUGAUCCAUAUUUUGAAAUAGCUGCAAAUGCUGGCAUGGAAAGACUUUAACUUCCUGCUGGCUAUGAUUACCCCUAAGAGAAAUGUUUUGUAGAGUGGCUCUAUGAGAUUUUAAUCUCCUGAUAACUACUGAAAGUUAAUAAAAUAUAUAAAAACUGAACUAAAAUGCAGUGCUUAUGCUUUCACACAGGACAAGGCACUGAUCUGUGUUAGCUAAAGUAGGUAACAUCUGCUCUGGGGAUCCUGACCAGAGACACAGCAUCAAACUGGGACCUACUGACUUCUGCACAGUCAGGAUUUUGCAUAUUAUGAGCUGGAUAAAGCCCAUGUUAAGUGUAAACAUUUAUAGAACUAUUAAGCAGUUCAGUGCUCGAUCACCACCACAUCUCAAGUGCUUUUGCUGGGCACAAUGGAUACCAGCUUCUCUUUUUUCUUCUUAAGACUCAAAAGCCAUUUCUUGAUAAGGAAAAUGCCCUUGAGCAAUGCAGUAGGAGGGAAGACCAGCUGGAGCUCUGCUUUGUAGGUAGUUAUAUUUUGGAAUCCUAAAUAGCUGUUUGCCUAUGUCUAUAUUCAUUAGACAGGGAUUUAAAGCAAAAAGUACACCAUUCAUUAUUGUUACUGCAGCACAGACCUCCACAGCCAGCUCUAUCAAAUAAUGCAAACCCAGUGAACAAACAACCAACAUAAUUUACUGUCAGCUUCUGUAAAAACCUGAAAAAAAAAUCUCCACAGUCCAAAAUAUUGUGGGUGGUUUUAACAACAUUGUCCACAGUGCAUGAAAUGCAAUAUUUUGGGGGUAGUAAUUGCCGUUAUUUAAACCUCAGAAAGCCACAGAUUUAUAUUUGUUCGGUUUCCUCUUAAGCUGGAUAAUAAAUCUGUACAGCCUUU